AUUAUUCUAAAUUCACCUAAGGAUCUUCUUCUACACAUGUUGUUUAUUAGUCAUGCCUUCGCCGCGAGAUAAGCCUGCAUCGGUUUACACAAGUCUUCCGGUAAUUUGAUAUUUGUGGGAUAAGAUAGCAAGUUUAUAAAUACUUUACACAAAGGGAUCCGCAACAUGGGAAUUUUAGCGGAGUUGAAGAAUCAUGCAGACAUGACUAAACUUGAAAGUUUCAGUUACUGGAUUACCUUUUUUGGAAUGAUGAUAUUAGACUUAUGUCGCUAUCAUGUGAAAUAAAGCUUAUAAAAUA
rnacentral:lncRNA from 1 species